rnacentral:ncRNA from 1 species
AAGGCCUGAUGUGUGUGAGAUUACCCGCUGAAUUUAAGCAUAUAAGUAAGCGGAGGAAAAGAAACUAACUAGGAUUCCCUUAGUAAUGGCGAAUGAACAGGGAUCAGCUCAGUGCCAAAUCGGAAUCACUUGUGGUUCUGAAAUGUGGCUUGAAGGCAGUACCAGUGGCAUCGCGGACGAAAGUCUCUUGGAAAAGAGCGUCAUAGAGGGUGAGAAUCCCGUGAGUCGUUCGCCGUUUGUCACGUACGGUCUGCGUUCUAACGAGUCGCGUUCCUUGGGAUUGGAGCGUAAACGGGUGGUAAAUUUCAUCCAAAGCAAAAUAUAUACUCGAGACCGAUAGCACAAAAGUACCGUGAGGGAAAGGUGAAAAGAAACUUUGAGAAGAGGGUUAAAUAGUGCCCUGAAAUCGUUGAGAAGGAAGCGGGAUGCCGCCGUUGCAUAUGCUGAUUGUAGGAUUGCUGCUCGCUC